CCCCGCACCCCCAAACCGCUGCCACCCCUCCGGCAGGCUUGGCGGUGAGGUGGGUGCUGGGCGGCGGCGAGGCGCCUCGCACCCCCCGAGCCCGCCCCGGGUUCCGCUCCGCUCUGCUGCCCCGGGCGGGGAGGGCGCUCGGGCUGCCGGAGGAGGCCGCUGCCCCUAGGGCGGGGGGAGCCGCGGCCUGAGGCUGGGGCGCGGGCCGUUAGCCGGGGCCGUGCCCGCGGCUUGGGUGCCGGCGGGGCCGCGGUGUUACGGGCGUUAUUGCUUAGCUCCGCCCGGGCGGGACCGCCGGGGCGCGGGGGGCUGGAAUGUAAAGGAACGAAGGCCACUGCAGUGAGAAGCAUUAGCUUUAGGGCACUAAGCACUGCUGAUCUCUGUCUAAAUUCCGUCCGAGUGCUGCUCUCGGAGGCUUAGGGUAUGUCUGCAAGGAGAGCUCGAUAAGCCUCGAGCCUGCGCUAACACCGCAGCCGGCCUUACGGCACGUGCAGCUCAGUCCAGAGCAUGCCCGAGCCGCACUGAGAGGCACGGGGGAAAGGCUGGGGCCAACCUUUUGUCCGGUGCCAGAGCACACAGCUCACACCACCUGCAUGUGAAGCACAGCUGCUGUUCCACCUCAGCUGAGAUGUGCUGCCUGACUGGGGAUACUGCUAAGAGGUUUUAGGGCACUUUCUUCUGUCUUCCCCAUACGAACUUUACAUUUUUUGCUCUGUCUCUGGCUCCAUGAAACUUACUUUUUUGGCUGAUAGAGGCACAACUUCAACAGGAAUAAUGCAGAGGUCCCCUACCCUGCUUGUCCCUUCCCAGACCUUGCCUGGAGAAUAAAACACUGUCCUAGCAAGGGUGAGAAACGGCUUUGAGACUCUACAAAAAGGAAGGAAUCUCCUGUUCUCCAACCAGGUGCUGUAGCCAUUGAAUUAUGUAAGACUGUAGGCAGAUCUACCGUUUACAUGUUUUGUUGAAGGGAAAGGGCUACUGCUAACUUCUGUCUGAACAAACUUCUCAGGUGGGCUCUAAGUCUGCCUUCCAGACUGAGUACCUUGGGCACUUGGGGGAAAGUACUUCUUAUUGGUGGAUGUAAGUGUAGUUUAAUUUUGAGCUGAGUCUUGGAUCUCAAGCCAGGAGAGAUGCAGAUUUGGUCAUGAGCAGAUAUAUUGUGGGAAUUUGAAGUAUUAUGUGAGCUUGACUAUUGAACACAGAAGCACUUAAGGGCAUUUUUAUGGGCAGUCAUUUCAAGAGCUACACUGAAGAUUCGGGCAUUUACUUGCUAUCUUUUUGCACAUCGGUCACCUCAUAGUGAAGAUGAGCCUUUGCCUGUUGCCAGUGUGAGGAGUUAGUAGCUUUUGCAUGUGCCCAGGAGAAAACUGUCAAGCACCUGGUCAGCCAUGCCAGUCGGUGUCAUUAGAUCUAGACAAAUGUCUGUUAGACAUUAGGGCACCUCCAACUUAGGCAUUCCCUUAGAAGAAGAUUUGAAGUCUGUGUUUUGAACUUAGCUAAGUGACAGCUGGGUGCCUGGUUAUUUUGUGGAUUUAGUGCUAAGCUUAUAUGUGGAGUCAGUAGUGGUGUCAAUUCAGUUGUUCAAGUCUUGAAGACUGGUGCUCUGAUCAUCAGAUAAAGUCUGUCUUUGUGAGAUGCAUGAAUUUCAUCUCAAAGUCACUGGUUUGAUUCCUAUCCAAGCUAAAAGAAGACUUUCAUUUAUUUUAAAACAUCAUGUAUUCGGUUCACCAAGAUGCACAAUUAUCAUUAACGUUUCAUUUCAGUUUCACUGUCUUUCUCCUGAUAUGGAAGAAGACCAAACAAAUAAACUUUUGUGAGUUGGCUCUCAGUGUUUACAGAUGGAUGUCAGUAUCCAUCCAUAUUAGAUGAUUGGCAGGAUUGGGACCUUACACUGCAGCGGCCUUUUCUACUUAUGCAUCAAAUGUAAUAAGCCGGGGGUUUGAAUAAAACUGCUAAUUUAAUAAAAAUAUAAUUUGAUUAAUUUAUGCCAUAAUUUACAUAAAAUGAAAGGAUUAUUUUAAAUUCAUGCUGAAAAUAGAUGAACUGCCACUUGAAGCCUGUCUGCUUUCAAAAUAUCCAUUGUGCUUUGUUCUCAGAGUGUAAGUUAGUUAAAAUUACAGCCUGUAGAAUAGAGCAAAAAUAACAAAUAAAAACUUUGGAGAAGAGGAGGGCAACACAGAAUUGUUAUUUCCUUUCCAGAGGCAGAAAUAGCAGUACAUUUCUGUAAGGAACUGCAGUUUCCAGUUAUUUUUGCUCAGUGAGUCUUUUCUUGUUUGGUAAAUUCUUGACUUCUGUGACUAAGGUUUGGUCAUUUUUUUUCUCUAGGUGAUAUCUAAUGGUUAGAACUUACAUAGCAUUUUUCCCAAAGUACAUUUUGUAUAGGUAACAGAAAUGCCAGUAAAAUUAACUAGUAAACUUCCUUGCUAAACAAGGUGCCACAUGAUAAAGAGGCCAUACAGCAAGCUUACAGAAAUGAGGGAAUAUUUUGAACUGAGUAGUGUGUCAGUGGAGGUCAAUAUUAGGUACACCUGUAAAGCUGUAGCCCAAUUUGCAGAAGUUCUGUUACUGUCACUGUUCAAAGCUCCUAAUUUAUAUCAGGAAUACAAUUUUAUGAAACAUAAUUAAGUAGGAAGAAAAAAGCAGGAGUAAGAUACUGUGAGAUUAUCACACCUCUAGGUUUUUACUGAACAUCAAAUUGACUGUAAAGGCCUAAACAGCCCAUUCAUAGAACAGUUUAAUGGUUACAACCAUAAAACUAUUAAUCUCUUUUAUCUAUUCAGCCAGCUUUUGGAGCAUUAGACAUGAAUAUAAAUAUAUUCUGCCUUUUGGUUUUCAAAUCUGACAUUUAACUGCAAAAAAUGAAGUCAGAUGCUAUAACUGCAUUAUGUUUUCUUUCUUUAAAAUAGCAAUUUCUGAGAAGGAAAAGGAAAAAUAGUAUUCCUUCUCUGCCAACUAGUAUAAUGUCUAUAUCAGCAAAGCUAGGCUAGAUAAAGAGAUGAAUUUAAUGCAAAGUUUCAUCCUCUCUGCUUCAUAUUCAGUAGGCAAGAGUAUGACUUGCUAAGAUUGUAAAAGUGAAGAAAAAGCAUAAACAUGUUUUAAAUCAAGAAAAAUGGCUUCUCAGAUCAUUUGAAAAAGAUGGGUAGAUGCUGCUGUAAAACUGGUUUUUGGACUAAGGGGCCCCAGUAGGCCCCACACUUUUUUUUAGUUUGUUUGGUUUUUAGGUGGAUCACCACCAAUUUUUCAUGGACUACAACCCCCUCUUACCAUUAGAUGUAAAUACAGUGGGUUCCAUGGACCUACCAUGUAAUAGGGCCUCUCUCCAUGGACUACAAAUUGGGAUCUGGCAUUAUAGUAAAGCUCCCAAUCUGCAGUUUUGCAAUGGAGGCCAAGCUUCAUGGAAAAUAUCUGCUGGUAAAUUCAGGAAGGGAUUAGCAUAGGAUUUACUACAGUGUUCUCUGUUUCUUGGCUUUUCCGUAGGAAAGCACAAUUGUUUAACUUUUAAAUAGUCCCUACUUGCCAGAGUUGGUAUUGCUUUGAGAGAACUAAGAAUAGAGUCCUGGGAGCUGAUCUCAGAACUAUUUCUCUGCUGAAAUUAACGGUGGACUCUUCUAAAAAUGGAUGGCCUUAUAUAGACAGAAUAAGGUCAAAUAGAUUUGGUCCAGUAUUUAUGUAUCAUAUAAUUUGAUUGUUAGUUUGCAGAAAAAUAGGAGAAUAUCAGAUACCUUUCUAUUUCAGAAAUAAAAAAUCUACACUUUAAGAAGAGUAUGUGUUGCUAAAAUUUCCUCUCAACUGAACUAAAAAAUAGAAAUUAUAGCCUCAGUGUUCUAUGCUAUGUAUCUUCUUAGUCUUUCUGCUUGUAUCCUCUGCAUAUUUUUCAUCCUAACAAAGACAUAUUGAUAAUUUUUAUUGAACAUAAAUAAUGUGAUAUUCAAAAUAUGAAAAGUUUCUAAAAUUAUAAACUCAGUAUUAGUACUGAUAAUGUAAUUGAGAUAUUUGAGUUCUCUUUCAAUUCUUACUAUGUAUCCUCCAACCCCCCCCCCCAAAUCCUUUGAGUAUUGUUUUAACUGCCUUUUCCAUUGAAAUGCUCUUUUAAACCUGAAAAUAUAUCCUAAAUUUGAUUCUGUUCCAAACAUUUGUUUAGCAUAAUUGACUGAUGGUCACCCAUUUCUGGACCAUAGUUUAUUACAGUAAAAAUAUAAAUGAAUUCUCAGUGUAAUUUUCUAAGAUUUCUGUAAAGGAAAUGCAGUACCCUCUUUGUAUUACAGAAUAAGCAUGUAUUCUAAUCCCAGCUUUGCUACUAUCUUUUCUCUGUAACUUUGGACAAGUCUAUCUUCUUGUUUUGUAAAAUAGGCUAAUAUUAACUUGCCACCCAGUAAUUUGAUAAGGCCGAGUGAAUGUUUGCAAAGUACUCUGAGAACUUCAGAUGGAAAAUGUUAUUAAAGUCCAAAGCACUGUUAGCCAAAGAGGAUAUUUACUGUAGGUGCUUGUUUUAUGUAGUGAAAUAAAAGUGUUGAAGUAUAUAACCAGAUGACCAAGACUGAUCUAAAAGUAAAUGCAGGAGACAUUUUUUGACCUUUCAACAGAAAUUAUACAAGCACUCUUAGGUUAUAAAUAGCUCUUUGUUUUCCUUCUCUUUGUUUAACGCUGAAAAGAAACACAGGGUUAGUUGUUUGUUAUGAAGAGAUAGGGUAAUGCUUUAGAGUGGAAACAAUUGUUCACUGUUCUUUAUUUAUACACUUCCUAUAAUGUUAGGAACGAGCAUUUGUUGCUUUUCUUAGCACUUUAUCUUCAAAAAGCUGCAGAAAUAAAGUUUCUGGUUCUGAAAAUAACAACACCAGAAAAAAAAGAAAACACACACUAACCCAUUUCAAGUAUGAAAGUUGCUUAUCUCUUUCCUGGUUUGAUCUAUGGCUGAAGAACAGAAAAGUCAGUGCUAAACUUAUUGUUAAACUGGCACAUAAACACUUGUGUAUUAUUUCCUAUUUUUAUCAUAAAUCUUCAAAAAUAAGACAUAAAAUAUGUACACCCUUAAAUGAAAGAUUGUAUAUAAGCUUUAGGAAAAUGACAUUGCAAUCCUCUGAGGAUGAUAUAUGCAUGCAUGUAUGUGUCCAUGUAUAUGUAUGUAUGUGUGUGUGUGUGUGUGCGCGCUUUAUAUUUCCAAAUAUGCUUAUUUUCAACAAUGGCCAUUUCCUUGGACAAUCAGUAACUUGCUUAACUAAUAGUAAUUUGUUAAUAGAAAUGUCUAGCAAACAGAAAGUCCUUGAAGUCUUGUCCGGAAAUUCAGGUAAUUGAGAUCAGCAAGAAAGCAAAAGUAUGAAAAUGCCACUUACCUUUUUUACCUUUUUUGUGCUCCUUCUUGUUAUGUUUUCUUUGGGUUUUGUACUAUGGGAAUAAUAUCCUUCACAUUACAAUGUACUUGAAGUAAAUGGCUUUAUUAGUUACCACA